CGCAGUGGGGAGCGUAAAAGUUGACAGCCUUGAGCAUGUGACACCUUCUGCCAUGGGAUGAUGCCACAAGAAGAACCUCACCAACUGCUGCCACCUUAAUAGUGGACUUCACAGCCUCCAGAACUGUGAGCCAGGAAAAACGUAUGACUGCAAAUUUGGAAACUAGACAGGAUCUGCCAAUACAGGGCAGAAUGUUAAAAAGAGGAUGAAUUUUAAUUUCAGAAAAUUUAGAAGAAAAUGGAUUUCUCAGGCAACUGAAAGAACAUAUUUGGAUCUAUUAAGACUAAGGGAGGCUUCAAGAGAACAGGACUUUGUGUUGGACAGACUAUCUGUGACAGGGAAAAAACCCUUUCUCAAUGAUUAGAGACGAAUCAGUUAACUGGCUUGAGUUUCACAUUCUUCAUCUGUAAAAUCUGAUGAUUAGACUGGCCCAGCAAAAGAUAUAAUACACAUAAAUCGGAAUGAAUCUGCAUUUUCCAAGCCUGAUGAAUUUAUUAAAACUGAAUUAAGUCACUAACUGGCAGCCUGAAGAUGCAAGGAAAGAACUGAGUCAUGCUUCUUAAGGUAAAAGGGCAGUCUAACUGAGAAUUUUGUUAUCUCUGAGGACAAAUUACAAGGAGAUAAAGACACUCAAGAUCACAUGGAAGGCUUCUGCUCCC